AAACGGAGCCAGCCCAGGACAGAGCCCAAGGUCAGAGCCUGGUCCACGAGGGGACUCGGAGGGGUGGACUCAAGCUUGGUCCCAGAGGGGAGGGGACUCGGAGCGGUGGACGCAAGCUUGGUCCGGGAAGGUCUUUGUCAAGGCCCAUUUGUUUUAUUUUACAGGGAGGAAACUGCAGCCGAGUCAGCUCCUCUGACUCUAGGCCGACCGUUCUUCCCUGUAUGACAUGUGACUCACCAGAUAAAGCCACACACGUCAUUCUUUUAAAAUUCUCUACUCUGUCCCAAGUUCUUGUCCCACAUCCAGAAGAAUAAGGUUAUGCAGACAACCAGAGAGUGAGCAGGGCAGAAAAAAACUUCUAUUGCAUGAUGGAACAGCUCCCAGCGUUGAGGGGACCUGAGAGUGGGCAGCCACUACCUGAAGGUGAGUAGUCUCUACCCAAAGGUGGUAGUCCCUGCUGUGUGGCUGAGUCCAGGGUUUUUAUGGGCUCAGAAAGGGGGAGUGUGUGCUGAUUGGCCCAUGGGCGGGCCUAGAAAAAAAUCACCAUUCGAUUGGCUAAAAGGUCGUGGACUUAACCUGGAACUGGCAGCUUGGUUUUCCAGCUUCAGGCUAUCUUUGGCUUGAAGGUCGGGCUUCACUGGGGACCUGCCCCAGUCUGCCUAGGAAUCUGUCUUCUGCUACUAUCAGAGGGACCACGCUUCGCUUAUCCAGUCGUCAUUCACGGACCCUGCAUUGUCUCUGCCUCUUGGGCUUUGUGAAGAAUGCUGCUGUGAACAGGGGAGUGCCCCUGCCUGUUUGGGUCCCUGCUUUCCAUUUCUUUGGGAGGUACGUGGAGAGGAGAUUGCGGGGUCAUGUGGUCAUUCUGUUUGGCUCUUGGAGGAGCAGGCAUCCUGUUUUCCACAGCAGCUCUGCCAUCAAAUGGCACUUUCUUAGUGACACCUCCCGUAUCUCUCCCCAUAAAUGUAUCUCUCCCCAUAAACAUUGCAACUCCUGGCUCACCUUCCUUCUCCUGUAACUUGUCACUGUGGAACUCUCAGGUGUGCCUGAGCCGACUCGUAGCAGCCCAGGAGGGCCAGCAGUGAGGCCCCUUCCCCACUCCGUGGUCAGUGCCUUCACACAGGGAGUUUGGAGGUGGCUGUAGUGGGAGGACUCACACCGCAGAAAUCAGCCAGUGCUGCAGGUCAGGGGCCGCCAUCCCCCAGAGCUGCUGUGAGACAUCGACCAGCACAUCAGUGGGCUGCUUUCCGCUGGUUUUAUUUGCAUGUAUUUUGGUCUGUUUCCCUACCUAGAAAAUAAACUCCCUGUGGCAGAAGUUUUAUCUCUCUGCUCCCUUCUUGGUUCCCAGCUCUUGGAACAGAACCAGACUUCUGGCCGGGGCUCAGUCAGUGCUUGCAAGAUGUUUGUUGGCACCAGGCUGUGCCAGGAGAGGUGAGCUCUGAGAGGGCAGUGUGAGGAAGGAGCAAGCCUCGCGGCUCUCUUUGGAGAAAAGGCCCGGGUGACAUUUUAUGCGUCCUUUCCCUUCCCCUGAGGCAGCACGAUCGGCUUCUCUGUGGGCACAGAGGCCUGGGUUCUCGCCUCGCUCUGCCCGAAGGGUGAGCAGCUCCAUCAGUCCUGUCUGCGCGGGAGAGCGCCUCCAUGCCCCUUAGUGCGGUGCCUCCCAGCCUUUAUAAUGUCAGGGUACGGCUAGAAAAUAUGAUUUCUACAGCACAUCAGGGCCAAAUGGAGGGCGUUGUUGGGUGCAUCUCUUUGGGCCUCAGUGAACACUUUCACUAAAUUCUUUACAUGCAAUCAUGCACUGCAUAGCAACAUUUCUGUCAAUGAUGCACUGCAUAUUCAACAGGGGCCUCGUCAGAUGAUGAUACCGUGUUUUUGCUGUAACUUUCCUAUGCUUAGAUACACAAAUCCUUACCAUUGUGUGACAGUUGCCUGCAGGAUUCAGAGCAGUGACCUGCUGUACAGGUUUAUAGCCCAGAAGCCAUAGACUGUGCCACGUGGCCCGGGUGUGUAGUGGGCUGUACCAUCUAGGGGUGUGAAAUCACCUAAGGACACCUUCCUUAGAACCUAUCCCAGUCAAGGGAUGCGAGGCUGAGUAACGGGGCCCCUUGGGAGUUCAGCACUCAGCAUGUUUCAGUGAGUGACUGAAAUAAUGAACGUUCUGAUCGGGCCCUCUCUGGCUGGCACCUGUGAACCACUCGCUUUGUACCCAUUAUUUCUUGUUCCCACAGCAUCAUUAUAAACUGCUGAUCUACUGUUUCUUUGUCAAACGGGAGGAGAUAACAUGAGGGUCAUGAGAAAUGUUUGCAGACGGAGUGAAUGCCUUGAAAGUGCUGCGACCAGGUGCUGACACCCGGAGGUCUGGCUGCUCAAAGUGUUAGCUGACACGGAAGACACACGGACUUUCCCUCCAUUCCCCAAAACUCCCCUUCCCUGACUCGUCAGCUGCAUAAAAACCCUCUCCUUAUCUCUUUGUCAAGGGGAUUUGAGAAAUCUUGCUGUCUUGUCUUCUUGCUUUGGCCAAAUGGAAUAAACCUUUCUCUGUCUCCAGACACCUAUGUCGCAGUGUUCGGCCUCAGCUAUACGGCAGGUACAUGAACCUGGUAUUUGGGCUUCUACAACAAUUGUACUUAUAGCACAAAUAAAGUACAAAGUGUUAGGGAAGACCAAAGACCAUAGGUAGAAAACUUGGAUACAACUUCCAAAUAAACACUCUUCAAAACAUUUAAUGAGCAGCUUCUGGAAACGUAACUUUUUCCUAUCAGGUUUAUAAUUAAAAUAGCUGUAGACUUCCCACCCACAGCUUUUUAA
rnacentral:lncRNA from 1 species